rnacentral:rRNA from 1 species
CAAGUCGAACGGCAGCACGGGAGCAAUCCUGGUGGCGAGUGGCGAACGGGUGAGUAAUAUAUCGGAACGUGCCCAGUCGUGGGGGAUAACGCAGCGAAAGCUGUGCUAAUACCGCAUACGAUCUCUGGAUGAAAGCGGGGGACUCGCAAGGGCCUCGCGCGAUUGGAGCGGCCGAUAUCAGAUUAGCUAGUUGGUGGGGUAAAAGCCCACCAAGGCGACGAUCUGUAGCUGGUCUGAGAGGACGACCAGCCACACUGGAACUGAGACACGGUCCAGACUCCUACGGGAGGCAGCAGUGGGGAAUUUUGGACAAUGGGCGAAAGCCUGAUCCAGCAAUGCCGCGUGCAGGAUGAAGGCCUUCGGGUUGUAAACUGCUUUUGUACGGAACGAAACGGUUCGCCUUAAUACGGUGGGCUAAUGACGGUACCGUAAGAAUAAGCACCGGCUAACUACGUGCCAGCCGCCGCGGUAAU